rnacentral:piRNA from 1 species
UAGCAGUAGCCAGCUCUGUCGGAGGUC